GUUUUUUUGUUUUGUUUCGUUUUGUUUUUUUAAGUGCUGUGCAGUCCUGAAAAUUAACAGUCCUCAGGGGACCAAUUAUGAAAUCUGAAGCUGGUACAGGUAACCCUGAAAAUCUUGAAGUAGAAGAGAAGGAGGACUCGUGUAGCAUAAAUUGGUCCCCCAUUGUACAAAUUGUUCCUGGGCACGAUCCUGCGAGAAUUGCUAGAACAAAAUCCAUGACAUCCGUGGGAGUGGAAGCCAAGCAAGGAGAGUGGCUAAACGCAGCCCGCCCUUUUUGCCAUUGGCUUUAUUGGAAGCAGGAUGCUACACAAGAGCCAUCUAGUCCUCUGAACUAGACGUCACAGGAGCAACAGAUUCUGUUUUCCUACGAAUUGAAGAUUAUCCCUGUGGAAGUGGAUUAAACGUAAAUGGAAUGUGGCACUCUUAUUCCGUAAUAGGAGUGUCCACACACGAAGUUAAUCCGGAGUAGCCUUUUUAAAAGCCUUUUCAGUAAUGGAGUGUUUUGGGGUGUUUUCGAAAGGCUCCAGCGCCUACGCAAUGCAUGGAACAUAUUCUAUUCGCGUUUAUAUUUCUACUGUCCCUAAUAAAUAAA